AGAGUAAGAGAUUAGACAUUUUGAAAAUAGAGAGAGAUACACUAAGAACAGUCAAAGAUUUUGAAAAUACUUAGAGCAAUAGGGAUCAAGUCUUAAGCAAUCUCAAGUUGAAAAACAUUCUGCAAAAGCUUGAGAGAUAGACAUUCAGAUACGCAAUAAGAGAGAGCUUGAUAUGUAGACAGAGAUUAAGACAGAGCUGGGUUAGCUUUUCUAUUAUUUGGUGGAUGGGAGUUAAUCUCAUUCUGAUUAGCUGUUGUGGUUGAUUUUACUGUUACAUUGCUGAUCUACUGGACUGUGUCUGCUGUUGACUCUUUACUGAUUUCCCAUUUUGAUUCCUUCUUGAUUUCGAGGUACACUUCUUUGAACUCUGUACAAUGUAAUGUCAAUUUGAAGCAUGAAUGGACAAGUUAAAGUGACCUCAUUUUACAAAAUGUUGGCACAGUUAGUUGUUUUACUAAUUUAAUUUGUAACGUAAACUAAAUAUUGUUUCUAUAAUGAACAACUGAAAUCUCGGAGUAGUGUUUAGUUUAGGGACUUUUUUAAAAAUGUUUUUUUUGUCAAGUAGUCAAUCAUAAUAGUACGCCAUAGCUCUGUUUUGCUGUUUCUUCGAGUCAUCAUUUAUGUUUGAAAAGGAUUGCAUGUUUGGUUGUUGUUAAAGAGGUUUGAAAAGGGUGAUGUUUAGUGUUUGUUGAUUCUAUUAGAUUAUAUAUGAGGUAGCUGGGUUGUUGUAUGGCUUGUGUUGGGUUUUGAAGGUCAAUUGUUAAUAGUUUGGGUAGAUUGAAUACCGAAAAGAAUGAGUUAGUGUUAAUUUGCCAUUUGUUUGAUCCACCGCCUACACAAUAUUUUUGUAAGAUUUAAGUGGUGGAUUGUCUCGUGAGCACAUGUAAUUGCCCCUCUGUUUUGGUCUUCAAAAGUGCUUGUGAAUUGUUUUAGGCGAAUCAUAUUAGACAUAGCAAAAAUUGAUUAUGGCACUACUAUAUUAACAUAGAAACCGUAGAAACCGUUAAGUAGAGUAUUUUGAGGUGUGCCAUGCCAAACAAAAAUGACAAAUGCGUGGCCUUUGGAUAUAAUAACUUUAAUACAUUUAGAAUUUGAGAUGUGUCAUUUGGCUAAUUUCAUGGCCCUCACAAAGUUAAGAACGCCUUAGUUCCUUUUAGGAGCGUUAGUUAAUAAUUUUACCUUCCUAAACUCGGUGUGCAUUUUAUGUGACCCAAAUCAAAUCUCAAAACGAUGUAUAAAAUGUGUUUAGGAUUGCGGGUGCAUUUCAUGUGACGCGAUUCAAAGACAUGUUUUAAACGACGAUCAAUAUUCCUUAAACAUUAAUAAAAGCUCUCGAAAGUUGAAAUUUGUACAUAGAAUCAGAUGUAUUAAAAUUAGAUAAUUAAGCCGAAUUUGACAGUUGAGCGAUCGUUCUAGAAUCACGGAACUCAGGAAUGCCUAAAACCUUCUCACGAGUUAAGAGAAUUCCUUAUUCGCAUUUCUGGUUUGCAGACUGUAAUACAGAGUCAACUUUUCAUCGAUUUGGGAUUCAACCAGUUUCUUGGGGCACCAUAAAUCUCCCAAUUGGCGACUCUUAAUGUAUUAAAAAUAAUCCCGUUUCGAUUGUUCUUUAAUUGGAAGAACAAUUUUAUACCUUUCGGGUGUGUAAAAAAGAAGGUGUGACAUUUUAUCCAUCAAACGACUAUUUAGGUUUGCGGCAUUAUCUGUGAUGAAAGUCGUAGGAAUGCCAAAACGACAGAUACGAUUAGAAUGCACAAAAUCUACCAUAGCUUCCUUGGCGACUGAUUUGAGAGUGAUGGCUUCAACCCACUUCGUGAUGUAAUCAAUGGCAACCAGUAUGAAUCUAUGCUCAUUUGAGGCUUUCGACUAGAUCGGCCCAAUGACGCCCAUGCCCCAAGUAACAAACGGCCAAGGUGCUGAAAUGGGAUGCAGUUCUGUUGGAGGUGCAUGAAUCAAAUCACUGUGCACCAGACACUGAUGGGACUUUCAGACAAAACUGAAAUAGUCCUUUUCCAUAGUUAUCCAGUAAUACCCCGCUCAAGGAUUUUCUUUGCCAAAAUGUACCCAUUCAUAUGGGGUCCGCAUACUCCUGCAUGCACUUCAUGCAUAAUUUUUCCAGCUUCUUCGGCGUCAACACAUCUUAACAAAUUGAGGUCCGAGGUCCUUUUGUACAAGGCAUUACCACUCAAGAAAAAACCACUUGCAUGCCGUCUAAUGGUUCUCUUUUGAUCUCCAGUUGCUUGCUCGGGGUAUUCUUGCAUUUUCAAAAACCUCUUAAUGAUAUGGUACAAUGGCUAGAUGUUUGGUUCUACCUCAACCGUAUUAAAAUAACCAUGUCUUUCCCUGAUUUGGAUUUCCAAUGGAUCAAUGUGAGCAUUGCCUGGGUAGGGCAACAUCGAGGCUAGAGUAGCAAGUGCAUCACUACUUCAUUGUGACACCGAGGGAUGUACCUGAACUCUAUUGACCUGAACCGAUUUCUAAGAUCCUCCACAUGUUGGCGAUAGGGAAGAAGCUUAACAUCCCAAGUUUUCCAUUCUCUUUGGACUUGCCGGAUAAUCAAUUAUGAAUGCCCCAUAAUCAAUGACACUUCAACGUCUUGGUGAAUUUCCAUAUUCAUUCCCAUUCCAAUGAUGCCCGCUUCAUAUUCAGCAUUAUUGUUUGUGCAGUAAAACUGAAGCCUAGCAGUGGCCGGGUACUGCUAAUCGGCGGGUGAGAUUAAUAUUGCCCCAAUUCCUACUACCCCUUUGGCGUUCACAGCCCCAUUAAAGAACAUUUUCCAAGCAUAAGUGUAUUCCAAGAUUGCAUAUAUUGUGUUUACCUCUUCAUCUGGAAAUAAGUGCUCAAUAGUUGGUAUUCCUCGUCAACCGGAUUUUCAGCCAGAUGAUCUGCCAACGCCUGAGCUUUCAUCGCCGUGCGAGUGACAUAGACUAUGUCAAAUUCAGCGUGUAGAAUCUGCAAUUUUGCUAACCUCCUUAUGGGCAUCAGCUUCUGGAAUAUGCAUUUCAAAGGAUCCAACCUGGUUAUGAGAUAAGUGGUGUGGGCAUGCAGAUAAUGUCUUAGCUUCUGAGCAACCCAAGACAAAGCACAACAGGUUCUCUCCAACAUAGUAUAUUUAGCUUCGUAACUGGUGAACUUCUUGAUCAGGUAAUAAAUCACCUAUUCUUUCUUCCGAGUUUUAUCGUGUUGCCCAAGAACACAACCGAAAUUGUUUUAUAAGACUGUCAUAUACAAGAAAAGAGGCCUCCCUGGCUCCGGUGGGACCAAGACUGGCAAAUUUGAAAGAUAUUCUUUGAUUUGCCGAAAUCUUCUUGACAUUCAUCUGUCCACUUGAUUGCUGCAUCUUUCUUUAGCAAAUUGAAUAUCGUCUUACAUAUGGACAUCAGCUGAGCAAUGAACCGACUAAUAUAGUUUAAUCUGCCCAACAAGAUCUUCAGAUCUUUCUUGCUUUCUGGAGGAGGUAUAUCCCGGAUAGACUUUAUCUUUGUUGGGUCUAACUCGAUACCUCUCCUACUGACUAUGAAACCUAGAAGUUUUCCCGAUGGGACUCCGGAUGCACAAUUGGCUAAUUUUAGCUUUAGUUCAUACUUGCACAAUCGCUCGAAGAACUUUCUCAUAUCUCGAACAUGGUCAUCCUGAGUUUGAGACUUGAUGAUUACGUCGUCCACGUAUAUCUCUAUCUCCUGAUACAUCAUAUCAUGGAAAGUUGCGGUCAUGGAUCUCAUGUAAGUCACCCCAGCAUUCUUCAGACCUAGUGACAUAACUUUUUAACAAUAUGUACCCCAGGUUGUGGUGAAGGCUAUCUUUUCUGCGGUCUUCUUCAUCCAUCAAAACCUGGUUAUAUCCUGCGUAACAAUCCACAAAGGUCUUUACCUCAUACUUGGCGCAGUUAUAAACAAGGAGGUGGAUAUUGGACAAAAGGAAAUUGCCUUUUUGACUGGCCUUUUUCAAAUCACUGUACCGAGUCUUUCCAUCUUUCUUUGGAACUGGGACUACGUUAGCCAACCAUGUUGUAUACGUGACUACCCAAAUUACCCCCGCUUUCAACUAUUUUGUGAUCUUUUCCUUGAUCUUAUCACUGAUGUCAGUUUUGAACUUUCUCUAUUUUUUGCUGUACCAGAGGGCAGUUGGGUAAAUGGGAAAUUUAUGAACCACUAGAUCACUACUCAACCCUGGCAUUUCAUCAUACAACCAAGCAAACACAUCUUUAAACUCAAAUAGGAGUUGGAUUAUUGCAUCCCGACUUUUCUCAUCCGUGUGAAUGCUUAUUUUGAUUUCCCGAAUUUUAUUACAAGUUCCCAAGUUAAUCGGCUCAGUAUCAUUAAAGUUUGGCUUAGGUUUAUUCUCAAAUUGCUCUAGUUCUCGAUUUAUUUCCCUAAUAGCCUAUUCUUCAUCAUAUUGCUAUUCUUGGUUCAUUAUUUCACAAUUAGACAGCGUGUUUGGAUCUGGGCAUGAUGUCCGCAAGUAUGUCAUGUUAUUUAAAGCCACAUUAUUAGAACUGAAAAGAAGAAAUGAAAGAGAAAAACAGCAAAAUCAGAAAGAAUAAAGAAAAAUGAAUGAUGAAAUAUUAAUUUCAUUUCUUGGAAUUUGAAGAUAACAAGGUUUAUAUUUGGAAAUUUAAAGACAAGAGACAAAUUAAAACAUCCAAGUUACACCCUGAAAUAACUUGGGAUGCAGAAAAAGUAGCAGGACAAGUCUACAGGGACUCCCGUCUGAUCACAAAUGGCGUAGCCUUCCAAUUGUGGAGCUUAGUGCAUGGUCCCAUGUCAGCACCUCAAGGGUGCUUGUGCCCUCUCCCGGCUGAACCAUGUGGGUUUCAUAUAGUAUCUCUCUCAUCGCCCCACAUAUUUCUUCAAUUUCUUAGCAAAAUCAGAAAGAAGAAAGAAAACUGAACGAUGAAAUAUUGAUUUCAUUUCUUGGAAUUUUGAAGAUAACAGGGUUUACAUCGAUAAAAUUAAAGACAAGAAUGUAAAGAAAACAUCCGAGUUACACCCUGGGAUAACUCGAGAUGCAAGAAAAAGUAGUAGAACAGGUCUAGCGAGACUCCCGCCUGAUUGGGAAUGGUGUAGCUUUCCAAUUCUGUAGCUUCGCAUUUGGCCACAUAUAUAGAACCUCAGCGGCGCUAGUGCCCGGUAACCAUGUGGGCUUUAUAUAGUAAUUUUCUCAUUGAGCCACAUAUUUCCUCAAUUUCUUCAGUCGUGAAAACAUCAUCACCUUCCUCUUUCCUGUACUUCGGCUUGACAAAGGUCUCAUACAAGUGUGGCAGUUGGUAGGACCCAUCCCUCUUUCUUUCUCUCAUUUGCCCACUAUGUAUCGUCUGGGGUAGGCAAGAAACCUAUCUCGAAGAACUUUUCAGUUUUAGGCAAAGUCACUAACUCAAAUAUUCAUGGUAAAGUUUUCCCAAGUCCCUUUCCUGGCUUGAAACCAUGUCAGAUCAUUUCCUUGGCCACUAUAAUCGAGGUGUUGGAUAAGAAAGGUUGGGGCCACGAAUUUCCCUCUUCAUGUUGGUUCGCAACCACAACUUCGAAAACUUGGUAAACUAUGUGUUCACUGCCUUCCCUCGCUUCCAGGCAUGGGACAAAUGUGUCCCUAUAGAUUGACUGUUCAUCCUCUCCAUGGAACACAAUCUCCUGGUCCUGAUGUUCGAAUUUUACCAUAUGAUGGAGGGUGGAAGCUACAUCUCUUGCGGCAUGGACCCAGGGCCUUCCCAGAAGAAAAUUAUAAGACGUGUCCAUGUAUAGUACUUGGAAAGUCACCUCGAAGUCCACCAGGCCAAUGAUCAUAAACAAGUUAAUUUCUCCAAUUGUGUCUCUUUUAAUUGCAUUGAACGAACGCGCGCAUACAUUGUUGGGAUGAAUCCUUUCAAUGACUUUUUCCUGCGUUGCAAUAUAAAGAUUGGGCAGAUUUCUACUCUAGAACAUCCAUAUUCCAUGACCCACUUCACAUAUUAUCCCUCACAUUUAACAGUUAAGUGCAGAUCCUUGUUGUCAGCAGCCCCCUCCGGAGGCAAGUCAUUUUUGCUGAAUGAAAUCUAAUUGAUGGCAAAAAAUCUUUCUGCCUUUAUUUGUAACCGUUCCAUGGAUGUUUCAGCUGGCACGUAUGCUUCAUUCAGGGUCUUAAUUAAAACUUUUUGAUGUUCAGGGGAUUUCAUCAACAAUGACAGGAACAACACUUGUUCAGGAUACUUUCACAGUUGAUCAACCACUUCAUAAUCAGCCAUCUUCAUUUUUUGAAUGAAAGGUUUCGCUUCCUCGGCACAUAUAGGUUUCUUGGCUGGGAAACACUUUUUAGAGGAAUUGUUCACUUCUUCUAUGUUAGAACACUUCUCAACGGCAUGAUUUUCUUGUGGCGCCCCUAAGAUAUCUUUGACUUUAUAUGUAACUACUAUUUUUUAGUAAUUCUAUGGCACCAUAGUCGGAUCUGUCAUAGGCUUUUGUGGCGUGCGUCCAAUAACCACGGGCUUGCUCGGCCACGAUGGCAUAAUUGUCCCUUGCACCACAUGAGCUCAUUUGGGUACGUACAUAUGGGAUCCUUUUCUUAGUUCAAAUAUAUUUGGAGGGCUCAAAGUUAGCUGAUUUUCUUCACGGCCCCGUGGGACAUAGAGAAUUCCCUUUUGGGGAGGUGUUGCCUUUGUUCCCGUUUCAACUUUCUUUUCUAGUUCCGUCUUGAUGACGUUGUUCUUCUUUUCCCCUUUAUAUUGCUUCGAGGUAACUUUUUUCUUUCUCUUAGCAUUAGCAAUUGCAAUUAUGGCCUUUAGUGCCGGUUCAAAUUAUUUUUCUUUGCAAAUCAUUCCAACCACUGCGACAUUGUUGUGGGUCGGCAAUGGGUUAUUCGUCAUACUGGGGACAUCCUCAUCCCUUAGCACUAUCUUUCCUUGAUCUAUCAAGUCUUCCACAACUCUUUUCAACGUGCAAUAUUUUUUUGUAUAAUGUCGCCCAGCUCCUGAAUGAUAAGCACACCAGACUCCCUGCUGAAAGGAGGGUAAUUCUGGGUAUUGCCUAUUUGGAGCUAUGGACUGCAACAAAUUCAUUUGAACAAGCUUCAGAAAUAGACUAUAGUACGGUUCACCUAUUGGUGUAAAUGUUAGUCUCCUGGUGAUUACCGAGGAUGAAAAUUAUUUUGUGGAGGACGUGGUUAUAGUGGUUUUGGUGAGGAUGGUAAUUUUUUUGAAAUUGAGCUUGGUUUCUAUUGGCAUGUUGUUGCGGUCUUACAAAAGGGUUAGCAUUCAUGACCGCAUACGGUUGAGGAGAAUAUUCCAUGUCUUGUUGAGGGUAAUAGUGCUCAGAGGUUCUUUCUUAAAACAAGGGUCUAGGAGUGUGAUGCUCCUGGCACCCGAAGCCGCCAUUGAUGUUUCUUCUUUCUUCUUACCCUUUAGCAUUCCACUAGACUGGCCUUGGAUGGCUUUGGAGGUUGCUCUAAUAGCCGAUUGACUCUGCAUUUUGCCAGCUUUUAGACCAUUCUCCACCAUUUCACCAAUUUUAAUAGCCUCCACGAAUGGUUUGCCCAUAGCUGACAUUAUAUUAUGGAAAUAAUCAGCAUUCAGAGCAUGAAGAAAUACCAUGCCCAUUUCCAUCUCAUCCAUUGGAGGAUUUACCCUUUACGCCUUUUCACGCAAUUUGAUUGCAUAUUCCCAAAAACUUUCAGAGGAUUUCAUUUCAUAUUCGCCAACAAGUUCGAUCUGGCACAAUGUCUAUGUUAUACUAAAACUGUCUCACAAAGUCUCUUCCGAAAUCAUCCCAAAUGUGCCAACGAGAAAUGUCCUUAUCCAUGUACCAUUCUGAGGUGAUACCCACCAAACAUUCCCCAAAGUAGGCCAUUAACAAUUCCUCCUUUUUGCCAGCCCUACACAAUUGAUUGCAGUACUUCUUAAGGUGAGCAAUAGGAUCACCGUGCCCAUCAUAUUUUUUGAACCUUGGAGUCUUGAAUUGCAUAGGCAAAUGCACAUGAGGGAUCAAGCAUAGAUCAGUAUAUGACACAAUCUUCUGCCUCUUAGAACCUGCAUGUUUUAAGGCUAUAUUCUAGUCUUCGCAUCCUUUUUUCCAUUUCAUCUUGUUCGGGAGUUUUAGGAGCCUUAUCCUGUCCCGUUGUGAACUCAAAUGGAGGUUUCUAAUGAUAAGUGUAAGUGGGCUACUGAGGAAGCUCAGUUUGGUAGUGGGUGUUUGGAAUGUGAAGGCCGAUGGAUAAAAAGUGGGUCUAGGCAGCAAAGGCUAUGUUGUGGCUGCACAUGGGGGAGCAAUAAAGAUAUUGGGGACAAUUACGGAUGGGAACACCUGGGGCCGAACCUCAGAAUGUGCUCCAACAAAUGAGCCGGUAUGAUGGUUUGUUCCAGUAAGAUGUUUGGAUGACUGAUGGGAAUAUUGGAGGUACCCUAUAACCUACGGAAGAGCUCGAGUUAUCUAGGGAUGACAACCGAAGGCUCCUUUACAUUUGUCCAUGCAUCCAACAUCUCCAUGACCUGAAGAAGCAGGAUCCUAUUUUCCUCGGCCGCUACAGACUCUGAGGCCGGGAUGCUCGAUAUUGGGCUAUCUUCCUAGAUGGGAAUUUCUAGAAAAGUCAUUUCAGACGACAUUUUUGUACUUCAUGUUUAUCUAGUAAAAUACCGAUGUGAUGCCAGCUUACCAAAACCAACCAUCGUGUCAAAAAACCUAAGCUAGACAUGACAAAAACAAACGGUUAGUUCGAGACAAGUAUCAGAUAGGGAAUCACACAUUGGGUUGUGAUGCACCUAUACAGUUAAACAGACGUAUAGAUGUUUGCAACGGUUGCAUGAGUCAUCCCAGAUUUUCAUUUCUAUUUUCUAUUCUUUUGAUUUCCGCUCUUUGUUUUUUCUUGCUUUUCUGUUUCUCAUUUAUCACAUGUUUCUUUUCUUUCCCUCUUUUCUUUACCUUCAUUCACACCUUCGAUUUUUUCUUCUCUCUCUUUUUAAUUCAUUCUUUACCUCUCUCGUUUUUUCUUUUAUUUUCUUACCUCUUUUUGUUUUUCUCUUAGUGUUACAGACGAAUAUUAUGGAGUUUGCCUAUGUAUUAUGACCCUGCAUGAAUCAGACCAAACGUAGUUUGUAAAAAAUAAAUGCAAAAAGUAAAGAAAUAAUUUUGGGAAUUUUCAAUUUUCUUUAAAAAACACGUCUACUACAAAAAAUGCUUAACUACUUGUCUUCUUGGAAAGGAAAACUACAGACCAAAAAUAAACAAAAUACAAACUCGAUGCUUAAUAGACCAAGAAUACAUUAAAGCUUAAAUUACUGGGAACCACGAUGCGUCAUUCGGCCUCGCUGCAAGCCUAUGUGAAAGACCCAUUUGUAGUUGCUCCAAAUCAUUAAUUAUCUGUUUCACAAAUGCCAUCACCGCCACCAAAAAGGUGCUGCGAGUCAUGUUCGCGCAUACAUGGAAUUUCCGAGUGGUGCGGUGAGAAAUAGUUAAGAUCCUCUUUCCUGUUACGCCUUUUUCUUGAAGCCAUCGCCCUAUCUGAUCAUUCCUGGCUUCCGAAACCCAGGAGUCACGAAGGUGUUGAAUUUGUAAUUGUUGGAUUUGCUCUUCCAUUUGGGCCAUCAAGUCAUAGCAAUUUUCCCUGUUGGCUUUGAAUUCUUUGGCUUGUUUGGGUGCUUUAUUUUCGAGGGUGGUCAUUUUUCUCUUCAAAUUAGCAAUGGACACUUCAUAAUUUCUCUUCAUUUCUUGCACAAAUUGGGGACAUUCUUCGGCUUUAUUUUCCCAUUGUGCUCGAAUUUUUGCUGAGUUACCCUCAGACUUUUCCAGAUCUUCCUGGCACUCGAUGACUUUCUUUUUUAGCCCACUUAUCAAACCUUUCAUCGGACCGACUUCUUUAUUAGUUGUUGGUAUCUAUUCUUAUCUGUACGAUUUGAGCAUUAAGAGCCUCAUUUUCUUGGGUCAAUUUCUUCUUUUCACCUUCAUCGGUGCAGCUUGCAAACUGUUUACAGACUAAAGAUCUCGGACCUGCUGUUCAAGCUCUCUUGUUCAGACCUUUAUUCGUUCUCCUUUUCUAACCAGACCCACUGUUCUUGUGAUGAUUCAGCAAAAUCCUUGAGGUGAGGUCUUUUGGCCAGCCAUCCAAAUGCAACUUCCUUUUUGUCCCAAGCAUGAUGCCCAGGUGACAUUUCUCCUUUAGAUCGACCCCGUAAAAAGGUAUUCACCGCGAAAUAUUGACAUUCGCUCCAAAUCUGGAGGACUCUCGCUUCAGGAAACUAGCCAUCAGGACCAAUCUCAACUACUUGGAUACUAAGAUCGUCAUCUUUUGGCACUAUUUGGCACCUCUCAAGUUGUCUCAAAACCCGAUAAGUCACAUAAGGUUGAAUUCUCUUAAGACCCAUAACGGGAAGUGCGGCCCCGCUGCUGGCAUAUAUAUGAUUUCAUCCACUGGUAACCAUCCAAACGUCCACUCUAUUGGACUUGUAGUGAGGGAACGAAAGUAUGAUGUCCAUCCCGUGAUCCCUUCUGGCAGGCUGGACCCCUUAAUCAUAGUAUAAAAUUCUUCUAUGCAAGUUUUCUUUAUUGACCGAUAACUUAGAAACUGAGGACGAUGGCACAGGUGUUCGGUCAUCCACAUUUGUAAUAAAAAAUUGCACCACUAAAAGAACUUUCAUCCGGCUUUACAUUCUGUAAGAGCGCAGAAGAUUUCAUCUACUAUCAUGGGAGUAAGACUAAUUUUGUCUUGAGUGAGUAAAGUGCUAACGAUCCUAUCUAUUUUAUGUCAAUAUUUCCACAUUUACUCGGGAAUACAAAAAGCCCCAAAAAUACCACCAUCAAAUCAAAACAUCUAUGUUCGUCCCAUUUUUGGCGGUUUCCUCUGCUACAUAUUUUUUUUUUCAGGUUGUUGAACCCUCCUAUAUGGCCAUAUCUCUGAUAUAGAAAGUGUAGAGUACGAAAUCCCUUUGCCAUAUACGUAUUGUGGACCAUUCGACUUAUUAGUGAGUCUAAGAAUCUGUGCACAACUACAGUUCUCGGGGCAACCAAGUAAUUGUGUCUUAAAGGAACCUCAGCACUUUCCACGUACCCGACUAUUUCUUCUAAGGUGAGAGUGAGCUCAAAAUCUGAAAAAUGGAACACGUUGUGCGCCAGGUCCCAACAUGUGACCAAUGCCCAUAUUAUAUCUCCUCGAGGCAUAAACACCAACAAACCAGUAGUACCUUUCAAAUAUCUCUUGACCUUGUCUUUCACUUCUCCACCUAGAUUGUUCCACCACAUACGCAACUUUAACGAUAUUUUGUUCAUGAUUGAGAAAGGUUCAUUUUGAAUCGUGUUAUUCCUGCUCAUUUAUUAAGGUGAUUUAAUCACUUAUUUUAACUUAAAAGAAACAAUGACACUAUAUUUCCAAAAUUUUAUUUUAAAACAAACAACUAGUUUUGCAGAUACAGCCUUUUAGCACUUCAGAAAGAAGAUUUUAAGGCUAUGCCCGUUAAUUGUUGAAAAUGACUCGAAGUGGCUGUUCUUGCAAAAAAAGCCUGUUUUAGGGAUAUUCGGCUAGUUGAAGCAAGAAUUACAUCACUCGACUUAUUUGUGAAAAAACUAAAAGUUUUGAUAAUUUUCCGCUGUUUUUGCAAAAGAGAAAUUGGACCCGAUGGGGUUGCCUAUGUAUCCCACAUGUGCUGAGAAUUAACUUGGUGUAGUUCGGGAAGUUUUGACAAAAUCAACUAUUUUCAAGACACUUCCUUUUCUUUUGUUUUCUAAAAAAAUCCAAUAGAGUUUCCGUACCAUUUGGGCAUUGGGCUUCUCAAAAGAGGUGACCAACUCACUCAACCCUCACACUAUAAUUCUUUUUUCUUUACUUUUUCUAGAUUUUCUCCUAUUAUUUACAAGUUGGUCAACAUGCAGAUCCGAAGCAAAUAAAUGCAUCAAAAGCUAGUAGGAUGCAUCAGGACGGUCAUUUUCAUUUCAAGUUACCUUUCCUAGACAGACUCAACCCCUGUGUUGAGUCCCAUUAGUCAAAUGCACGUAAUGCAAACAAAGGUUCCUACUAGGGAUCCAGUACGAGGUCAAGUUAUUCUAGGUUCAAAACGUACGUAUAUGUUCUAUACUGUGUACCCGAGCGGAAAACUCGAGUCGAAGAGGGGGAUACAUACCGGGAACCAAAAGGCCGUCUGCUUAGUAACUUGUCUGACCUCUUUCUUACUUUAAGGUAUGACACUAAUAGAAUAGGGAGUCUUGACUAGUGGGAACAUCCCCCAAGAUGAGAAGAGAAGCGUUUAGUUAUAAUUUAUAUAUAGAAAUUUAGAUAAUAUCAAAGUGGUAAAGCAUUUAGCACAUUUAGCAUGAAAUAUGUAGGAAAUCAGAUAAAGCCAGGUAUAAAAGUUAUUCUAAGCUCUUACUCCUAAACCUAACCGAAGUUCUGGGUUUGUCUCCCCAGCAGAGUUGCCAGAGCUGUUGCACCUCCUUUUUACACACCUACACUAAAGGAUAAUGUAUAAGAGGGUUUUUACAUUUUUAGUGACAUUAUUCGAAAUAUGAUUAUUUAUUUAUUUAGAGUCGCCACUUGGGAAAUGUUUGCAUUUUUGUGUCCCAAGUCGUGGUUUGUCUUGAAUCCCAAAUCGAGGAAAUUUUUCGACUUUCCAAGUAAAGUCUGCGAACUAUAAAUUCUAAGUAAGGAAUUCUGUUGACCCAAGGGAAGGUGUUAGGCACCCCUGGAUCCCGCGGUUCUAGCACGUUCGCUAAAAUUAUAAUAAAUGGGUAAAUAUCUUAAUACUUGUUUCUAUUUAAAGUGCAAUUUAAAUUACUUACCACUUUGAAUUAAUUUUUAAGGAAUUUGCAACAUUGCUAAAACACGUCUCGAACCACGUCACAUAAAUACACCCGUGGUUUUUUACAUAUUCCAACACCGUUGACAUUUGGAUUUUUGUCACAUAAAUGUGUACCCGAGUUUAAGAAGAUAAUAUUAUUAAUUGUCAGACUUAAAUCAACUAUAGUAUUACUAAUUUUGCGGGAGGUCAUAAAAUUUGCUAAGUGGCAAGUCCCGAGGUCUAAAUAUUUGUUAUAAAAGAUAAUUGGCGUAACGCAACUCGUUUUUGUAAGGUCAACCUAACUAUGAUUUUCUAUUAAGUAUUAUCUCUAAAAGGGUCUUAAUUAAUUAGCAUUAUUGAUUACUAUUAUCAAAAGCAUUUAAGGAAUUUGGGCCUCAAGGUCGAUCCACAUUUAAACAAAAGAAAAGCCUCUUUAGGUUAUUGGGUUGUCAUAUAAUUGGACUGACCAUCUCAAUGAAACAUCCAAACUUUGGACCCAAAAUGAGCCCAAUUCGAAGUGAGGAAAGAAUGAUCAGGGAUAUGAACCUGGCUACUCUUUAGUUGGGCCUAUGUUGAACUCAAUAUUUAUAGUCCAAGUAAGGUGACCCAAAGCUAAAUCAAUAGUAACAAUGAAAUGAAAAUCAACGACCUACUGAUAUAUUUUAAACAGAAUCUGAUAUAAAUUAAUGGUGAUCGAACCAAUAAACUCAAUCACAUUUUAUAAUAGUUAAAAAGAGAUUAUCAUAUUUACAGUUUUAACGAAGAAUAGGAUCAAGCUCAAUUUACAACCUAGCACUAGAUCUAAAAUUUUAAACUGCCUUUUACCCUCAGUUCAUAAAUUCUAAACAGCUCCAUUACAGAUAGAAAAUGAGAAUGACUACUUGUAACGACCUGACCCGUCGUACCGUACAUUUCUGAAUUGUUUUCCCUUUUUAUGCUGUUAUAUGUUUCAAUAUAUGUAUUUGGAGAGUUUGGAGUAAUUCGAAUGGAGUUUGGAUAGAAAUGAGACAAUUAGUCUCUUUAAGAGAUAGUUAGUUUGGAAAAGUCAACCGAACAUUGACUUAUAGUUGGAGGGCUCGGAAUGGAAUUCUGAUGAUUCGACAAGAGAAAGUUAGUUUGGAAAAGUCAACCGAACAUUGACUUAUGAGUUAGAUGGCUCAGAAUGAAUUUCUCAUGAUUCAACUAGCUUUGGAUGGUGAUUUUUGACUUAGAAGCGAAAUUAGAAGUGAAUUUGGAGGUCCGGUAUAGAAUUAGGCUUGAAUUGGCUAAGUUAGAAAUUUGGCGAAGUCCGGUCGAUAGGUGAGAUUUUGACCCGGGAGUCAGAAUGGAAUUCCGACAGUUGCAGUAGCUCUGUUAGGUGAUUUUUGAUACGUGUGCAAACUUUCAGAUCAUUCGGAGGUGAUAAGGUCGGGUUUUGGAGCAAAUGCAAGUUUCGGAUGUUUUAUUUAACUUAGGCUUGAAUCCGUGGAAGUUGGGUGAUUUUGAUGUUUAUGGUGGCAUUUUUAUGCUACGAGCACGCUUAAAUGGAGUAUUACGACACAUCUCUUCUAUUGGUCGAGGUCUCGAGGGGCUCGGGGUAAAUUCGGAGGGCCAACAAAGAGUUUUAACUUGAAAAUAUGCAGCAGAAAAAUGCAUUAGUAAUGUAGGCCUAUUUUGGCCUUCACGAUCGCGAAGAGAGGCUCGCGUUUGCGUAGAAUUAAUGGCCUAAAGCAUCGUAUUUGCGUACAGCAGGUCGCGUUCCCGUAGUGUUGGUAGGUGAAGCAUCGCCUUCGCGAUGGUGUUGCCGCAUUCGCGAAGAACAGUUGGAGGGUUAGCGGAAUUUGUUCAAUGCGAACGCGUGGCUUGGACCGUUUUCGCGAAGGGAUAAAUCUGGGCGACACAAGGGUCUUUAAAUGUCAAUUCAUUCGUGAACCAAAAACAUACUUUCCAUUAUAGUCAAGCAACCAAGGGAGCGUUUUGAGCAAUUUGAUGUGGGUUUUCAGCGGGUAUCGAUUGGAGGAAAGUCGCUUGACUUAAAAACAUUAUUUUUAGGAAGAAUCAACCUCAAUUUCCAUGACAUUGUGUAGAAAUUGUGAAGAACUAGGGCUUAGUAUUAGAAACGAAUUUUAGGGAUUUGAAGGGUCAAACGGACUCCGUUUUUCGUGAACUUUAUAUGUAUGGACUCGUGGCGAGAUGAGGAAUCCAAAGAUGUAAAUAUCAGAAUUUUUUGAGAAGUGCGCCCGGGGCUCGGGUUUUACCAACUUCGUGAUUUUUAACGUUUUUCGAAUAAUUUCAAUUGGGUAAUAUUUAUUUCGCUCGUAAUAACAUAUUCAUUGGGGUUUUGAAUAGAUAGGAUGCUCAUAGGAGAAUAGUUGAAGGGAAAAGGCAUUGCAGACCAGGCCACGACCGGUUAGAGGUGAGUAGUUUGUAUAGAUGAUGGCCUGAGGGUUUGAAACCCCGGCUUAUCACAUCGUGACGCCAGGCCACGACCGGUUAGAGGUGAGUAGUUUGUAUAGAUGAUGGGCUGAGGGUUUGAAACCUCGAUUGUCACAUCGUGAUGCUAUGUUUGGGAGUGACUCGUACCCCAUGGCAUGCGAGGGGUUGUUAAUGAUUGGGGAAUUGUGACAUAGUCCAUCCUGUGAUUAUUUGCGUCUGAUACGCACAUUCUGUUGUUGAUAAUUGGGCUUAAUGCCACGUUUGGGGUUUUGUGCCAAUCUGUAGUACCCGUCUAGGGUGAAUAUCUGUGUGAUAACAUGAUUGCAUAAUCAUUGAUCUCAGUCCUGUGUUUAAUCAUCAAAAUGAAAUGCUAAGUCACUUUUCUGAAGAUUUAAUAAUCAAACUAUAUUUUCCAUAAAAAUACGAAAAAUGAAAAUUUAGAUUGAAUCUGUUUAUGUGAAUAAUAUGCAUAUUGUUGACUGAGCAUGGGUCGGGCUACAUGAUCUGUAGCGGAUAUAUAUUGAUUUUGCGCUUGGGCUGAAGGAGCUCUUCCGG
rnacentral:lncRNA from 1 species